rfam:Candidatus Scalindua sp. BSI-1 SCARTB_contig000072, whole genome shotgun sequence.
AAGCUGGUGGAAGUCUAGCCAGAGCAAUUUCCAUUUUGGCUCUGUAGUUAUAUCCAACAUCAAUGAAGGGUAACCUUUCUUGGUGAAAGCUUGGAAGUAAAAAUCCCAUUUAGUGGGGUGAGCAAGUAUGAGGGCCGCAGCGAAA